CCCAUUUAUUAUUAUUAUUUUUUUUAUCAUCUACUCGAACUAAGGAAAACGUUUGACUAACUCAAAGACAAUUUCCACGCCUCCCCUGCCUGACUGCAGAGGCAGUUUUGAAUUUAGGAGCGCCAAGAUGGCAGCGGCAAACCCUGGCGGCUCUCCGGUGGAAAAGACCCGUCACCUUCUGGGAGUGGCGGCUCCCGUGGGAACAGCUCCCACCACCAAGUCCCUGAGUGAGUCUCUGUCCCCCAGCGUGAGCUCCAGCACUCUGUCCACGUCCACCUCCGCCUCCUCGCAGAUCUCCAGCACCACCUUUGAAAGCGUGAGAAGGAGCUGGCCACCAAGUGCCUGCGCCUUCUGACACACACCUUCAAUACUGAAUACAACCAGCUGGUGAACAGCAUCAGUGACUGCAAGCUUUCUCUCAUCUCACCGAUCGGACGUGAUCCAUCCGUGACGAGCUUCAGCAGUGCCACCCUCACCCCUUCCUCUACCUGCCCCUCUCUCUCGGACUCGCGCUGUGGCUCCAUGGGCCAGAAGACCCCUGAGAACAGCUCACGUGCCUCCAGUCCCUCCUGCUCAGACUGUGAAAACUUCCCGAUGGUUCCCACUCUGGAGACCUCCUACCUUGC